rnacentral:tRNA from 1 species
GGCGCAUUCGUCUAGUGGCCUAGGACGCCGCCCUCUCACGGCGGAAACCCGGGUUCGAGUCCCGGUUGCGCUA